GAGUGUUUUGCAGCUGCAUACGUCCACAAAAGAGGAAAGUACUCCAACUCAACACAUGUGCCUUGUAGACAGUGGUUAGGCGUUCAAGAAUCAGGACUCCAAGAUGAAGGAUCAAUCUCCUGUCUCAUCACCAACUCCAGUGUUCAAAUAGCUCCCUUUGAUUCUGGGGAUCAGUAGUCAAGAAAUGUGGAGGACAGCUACCAAACAGAAUCACAGGAGUCAGCU